rnacentral:rRNA from 1 species
GUGGGGAAUAUUGGACAAUGGGGGGAACCCUGAUCCAGCCAUGCCGCGUGUGUGAAGAAGGCCUUUUGGUUGUAAAGCACUUUAAGCGAGGAGGAGGCUACCGAGAUUAAUACUCUUGGAUAGUGGACGUUACUCGCAGAAUACGCACCGGCUAACUCUGUGCCAGCAGCCGCGGUAAUACAGAGGGUGCAAGCGUUAAUCGGAUUUACUGGGCGUAAAGCGCGCGUAGGUGGCCAAUUAAGUCAAAUGUGAAAUCCCCGAGCUUAACUUGGGAAUUGCAUUCGAUACUGGUUGGCUAGAGUAUGGGAGAGGAUGGUAGAAUUCCAGGUGUAGCGGUGAAAUGCGUAGAGAUCUGGAGGAAUACCGAUGGCGAAGGCAGCCAUCUGGCCUAAUACUGACACUGAGGUGCGAAAGCAUGGGGAGCAAACAGGAUUAGAUACCCGGGUAGUCC